GACGGGUACGGCCACAUAAAUGGAGUCCCCGUGCUACAUAGGUCAAGUUGUUUUGGGUCAACUUGGUUCACUCAUUUCACGAACUGAUUUGGUUCCGGUUCGGGUCUUGGUUCGAGAUGCGGGUUCGAGUCAACUCAGCCAAACGGGUCAGCCGGGUUAAAUCGGUCAAACCCGAGUCAACUCGGGUCAACAGCAGUCAAUGACGGUCAAAGCCAGUCAACUCGGUUAACUGAGGUCAAACUCAGUCAACACGAGACGCGGAGUACUAUAGAUGCACGCUAGUGAAAUCACGUUCGUGGGAUGACACUACGGAAUCACGUUAAGAUAGCUUUGCAAAGGAAUGUCAAGGUUGCAUUUUCAAAAUUAUGGAACGGUUGGAAUAGGAGAACCCAUGAGAAUUCGAGUACUUAGCGGCGUUCACUGUUUAGAAGUCUUAGCCUUUUGCUUCCGCUG
rnacentral:lncRNA from 1 species